rnacentral:rRNA from 1 species
AACGAACGCUGGCGGCAGGCUUAACACAUGCAAGUCGAACGGGCGUAGCAAUACGUCAGUGGCAGACGGGUGAGUAACGCGUGGGAACGUACCUUUUGGUUCGGAACAACCCAGGGAAACUUGGGCUAAUACCGGAUAAGCCCUUACGGGGAAAGAUUUAUCGCCGAAAGAUCGGCCCGCGUCUGAUUAGCUAGUUGGUGGGGUAACGGCCUACCAAGGCUAUGAUCCGUAGCUGGUCUGAGAGGANGAUCAGCCACACUGGGACUGAGACACGGCCCAGACUCCUACGGGAGGCAGCAGUGGGGAAUAUUGGACAAUGGGCGCAAGCCUGAUCCAGCAAUGCCGCGUGAGUGAGGAAGGCCUUAGGGUUGUAAAGCUCUUUCGCACGCGACGAUGAUGACGGUAGCGUGAGAAGAAGCCCCGGCUAACUUCGUGCCAGCCGCCGCCGUAAG